rnacentral:rRNA from 1 species
GAGAAUAGCUUGCUAUUCGGCGUCGAGCGGCGGACGGGUGAGUAAUGCUUGGGAACGUGCCGUAAGGUGGGGGACAACCAUUGGAAACGAUGGCUAAUACCGCAUAAUCUCUACGGAGCAAAGGGGGCUUCGGCUCUCGCCUUAUGAUCGGCCCAAGUGGGAUUAGCUAGUUGGUGAGGUAACGGCUCACCAAGGCGACGAUCCCUAGCUGGUUUGAGAGGAUGAUCAGCCACACUGGAACUGAGACACGGUCCAGACUCCUACGGGAGGCAGCAGUGGGGAAUAUUGCACAAUGGGCGCAAGCCUGAUGCAGCCAUGCCGCGUGUGUGAAGAAGGCCUUAGGGUUGUAAAGCACUUUCAGUAAGGAGGAAAGGUUAGUAGUUAAUACCUGCUAGCUGUGACGUUACUUACAGAAGAAGCACCGGCUAACUCCGUGCCAGCAGCCGCGGUAAUACGGAGGGUGCGAGCGUUAAUCGGAAUUACUGGGCGUAAAGCGUACGCAGGCGGUUUGUUAAGCGAGAUGUGAAAGCCCCGGGCUCAACCUGGGAACUGCAUUUCGAACUGGCAAACUAGAGUGUGAUAGAGGGUGGUAGAAUUUCAGGUGUAGCGGUGAAAUGCGUAGAGAUCUGAAGGAAUACCGAUGGCGAAGGCAGCCACCUGGGUCAACACUGACGCUCAUGUACGAAAGCGUGGGGAGCAAACAGGAUUAGAUACCCCUGGUAGUCCACGCCGU